rnacentral:pre_miRNA from 1 species
UUCCUAUGCAUAUACUUCUUUGAGGGUCUGCCUAAAGAGGUAUAGGGCAUGGGAAAA